GAGACUAACUUCAUGCAGGGAUGGAUCCUUUAAACAGUAGUGUUUGAUCCUAUAUAUAUAUAGGCCAUACGUUUAUGUUUGAUUAAUAUCUAAAUGGUUUUGUGUUAUUGGGAUUUGUGAUUUAUAUAUAAACAUAUAUACUUAGACGUGCAAGACAUGAUCAAAAUGCUUACUAUAUGUAGUCUGAUAUGUAUUGAGACUGGAAAUUCAUAAAUAUUUCCAUAAUUAAUAUCCCUCUAUGACAAUAACCUGAA
rnacentral:misc_RNA from 1 species